GACCGCAUAGCGCAGUGGAUUAGCGCGUUUGACUUCGGAUCAGAAGGUCGUGCGGUCG
rfam:Ipomoea nil DNA, scaffold: scaffold0715, cultivar: Tokyo-kokei standard.